UACGUAGGGGGCUAGCGUUGUCCGGAAUCAUUGGGCGUAAAGCGCGUGUAGGCGGUCCGGUAAGUCCGCUGUGAAAGUCGGGGGCUCAACCCUCGAAUGCCGGUGGAUACUGUCGGGCUAGAGUGCGGAAGAGGCGAGUGGAAUUCCUGGUGUAGCGGUGAAAUGCGCAGAUAUCAGGAGGAACACCAAUGGCGAAGGCAGCUCUCUGGGACGGUACUGACGCUGAGACGCGAAAGCGUGGGGAGCGAACAGG
rnacentral:rRNA from 1 species